rnacentral:rRNA from 1 species
GAUGAACGCUAGCGAUAGGCUUAACACAUGCAAGUCGAGGGGCAGCAUGGUCUUAGCUUGCUAAGACUGAUGGCGACCGGCGCACGGGUGCGUAACGCGUAUGCAACUUGCCUCACAGAGGGGGAUAACCCGUCGAAAGACGGACUAAUACCGCGUACACUCCAUCUUGGGCAUCCAAGGUAGAGGAAAUGAAAUUCGCUGUGAGAUAGGCAUGCGUCCCAUUAGCUAGUUGGUGAGGUAACGGCUCACCAAGGCGACGAUGGGUAGGGGAACUGAGAGGUUGAACCCCCACACUGGUACUGAGACACGGACCAGGCUCCUACGGGAGGCAGCAGUGAGGAAUAUUGGUCAAUGGGCGAGAGCCUGAACCAGCCAAGUCGCGUGAAGGAUGACUGUCUUAUGGAUUGUAAACUUCUUUUAUACGGGAAUAACAAGAGUCACGUGUGACUCCCUGCAUGUACCGUAUGAAUAAGCAUCGGCUAACUCCGUG